UAUACAUGCAGAAAAAUUACUACAGGAGUAGGCUGAGUAGCCAGCAGCGGCUACUCUUCCCUGUCGAAAGCUCAAAAAGAAGCCCCUUCAAACUAGCUUCCCAAUCCUUCCCUGUAAAUUGGACUCUGCUUCAAUCGAGAUCGGAGCAUGCUGCAGAGACUGCACCCUGGCAAUGAGUGCAGAUCGUGCAUCUCCUUCUUCAUACACACUAGUCAGAAGAUCUUUGAGGAUGCUGAUCAUUGGAGUUGCUCCAAUUCCCAGGCCAAUGAGGAGGAGAAUGUCAUACUUCUUGAAGUUUUGAGCGGGUGCUCCAUAUGGACCUUUGAUGAGAAUCUUUGGAAAUCUGCCUCAAGAGAGAAGAGCUAUUACGUGUGUUGUUAAAUGAAAAAGCUCUGCAGCAAUCCAAUACAGACCAUGUUCACCUUGCUUCUGUAUCGUCAAGUUUUGAGCUUGCUUUAGACCUUGCUUUAGUUUCCAUUCUAACUAGACUACCACUUCUUGGUUGUGUUGAUGGAGGGUCACAGACCUGCAUUUUUUAAUGCUAUAGAAAUGUAAAAAGAGUGGUCAUAAUUCUUCUAGAAAUGUGGUUUACGAAGUAAUUUGAAAA